UGCAAAUUCCAAAGUCAGAUCCCGGCUGGAACAUUUCAGCCCGCCUGCCACGUCAGUUUGCCUCCACCAUCCUCCCUCGCUCCUUCUCUUUCUUUCUCUUUGCUUUUUCCGCAAAAGGCGACCCGACGUAAAGAAAUGCACCGUUUCCAGUUGGUGUUUGGACACACUGGACUGGGGUUCAUCUUUAGCAGUGGUAUCUUUUACAGGCUCUUUUUAUUUCGCUGGGAGAAUGGAUACGACUGAGGCCUGGGCGAGAAGAUCAAGCGGGUAGCGACCUGCAGCCGCAAUGACCUCAGGGUCCUUCCUCCCAUCGGAGUCCUCCUCCUCCUCCUCCUCCUCACCCCCCCGCCUGCCCAGUGUUCAGACUACCUGUUCAUCAGGCUACAGCUGAACAGUAGUCUGCACAUUGGUUAGGCUGGGCUGGGACGCACACACCUCCGAGCCACCGCCGUGGGUGAAGAUGACACCGAAUUCACACUAGUUUAGUGCCAAAAUGCAGCAUCUUAUCUUAGCUAUCCGCAUCCCCAGUGUCUGGUGAAAUACAGCAAUGGAACAGAAAUGCCUCUCACCUCCUCGUUUUUGUACCAGGACAGGGACUCCGCCGUCAGGACAAACCAGUACUCCUUGGAGCCUCCCUUCAUGAUGCUGAUGUUGAUGGUUAGCCAGCCUUUCCUGAUCACCUGCACAGCGAGGGAGAGAGAAAGCGGUGGUAGGGAGAGAGAGGGGUACCAGGAGGACGGAUGAAAACAACUUUGUCAAUCAGGCUUAUGAUAUGAGGUGAUAUGAGGGCCCUCUAAGUGUUACUGGGAUGUGACAGACACUAAUAAAAUCUUACCUGCUUACCUGCUGGCUCACUGGAAA